AUUAAUAGUAGUAAUAUUAAUUAGAGACAGUUGAGAAUUUAAUUACAAGAAAAAAAUUGGACAAGUGAAGGAUAUGGAAAUUACAUAAGUGUAAAUUGGAAUAACUUGUGAAGGACAAAAUAGUAAUUUUGUAGUAAUAGCCAUAUAAGUUCCAAGAUGAGAAGAACAACUCUCUUUCUCAAAACACUCUCACGCCCAACCUCCCUUUCUCACCAUAACCACAAACUUCAUACUCCAUUAAUCCAUCAAAUUUCUUAAUGCAUGUAUGAAUUCUUCUUAACCCAUCAUCAAUUAAACUCAAUAGAAGCAAAAACCAACCCUAUCUUCCUCUCCUUCCCACUCUUAGCCACAAACCCCUUUCUUCCUCACAAACUCAUACCUUCCACCAUUUGCACGAAUUUCUUAUGGGUAGCUUGUAGAUGUUGGAAACCAAUGUAAUGUAAGCAUUCCUAAACUUUCCCCUCUUCUGUGUUGAUUUGACCGAUUUUGAUGGUUAGAGAAUGAGAUAGUUAUUAUCCGAUUUCCCUUGAAAGUGAAGGUUGAAAGAAGUCAUGUUUCACUGUUAGUUUGGAAUUUCAGCAAAGAUGUGGACUUGUAACAGUGGAGACUAAAGAUUGAAGCUUGGAAGAAAUUGAAGAGAAUGGAAAAGAAAGAAAUUGGAAGGAUUUGGGUUAAACCCGUAUUCUGGACAGACCUCCACUAAAAAGUUUCAUGGAUUUCUAAGCAGUAAUGAAUUCGGAAGAAGCAUUUGAAGUUCGAGGUCUGAUGCAGAACUUUGGGCUACGGGUUUAGAGUGUUGUGGCUGCAAAUUCUGUUUUUCAACUAGCUCCGAAUAUGUUGUUAGCACGAUUCAAACGUCAUGUUCAGGUAACAGGUUGAGCAUGAUAAAUGGAUUUUCAAGAGGAUUGAAGUAAAGACGCUGUUUAUGGAAACUUCGUAGCAUUCACCUGUUAAAUUAUUAUAGAAGAUGAUUCAAGGCUUGAUCCUGAUUGUUAUGCAUUCUAUUUCGCUCUGAUGUAUAAUAUAUUAUAGGUUGUACAUUAUGACAGUUUAUUCAGGAUUUUGUCAAGAUUAUGUAUUGUCUGGCAAAUUAUCUUGUAAUUGUACUAUGUCGGACAAAAGUUAUUCUGUAAUUUUAAUGUUUCCCGAUUCAGUUAUGUAUGCUCCUAUUGAUAUUCUAGAUAAAUCAAUAUGGGGUGUUAUAAUUGGUAUCAGAGCAGGUCGAUUCAGUAUCGGACCUUGCCGCGGAUCAUUAAAAUUCAAUCUUAAGGAGUACGGUUUGGAGUCUGGACUGUUUACUCUGAAAUCAUCGUGUAUUGAGCCUGAUCAACUCAGUGUCACGUAUGGUAGGCAGGGUACUACGGUUGAGAACCGAAGUGGACCAAGGAGUUCAGUGGUAAGAACGUGGUAGAAGCGUGAACUCGGAAGGAAGUAUGAGCGAAGAUCUUUGGAAUCUAACGAUGGAGCUACAACAUUCAAAGACACAGAAGUAACUAAUGUGACACCAACAAGUAGUGUGAAGAAUUCAAGGAUAAUACGUGGCUUAGUACUAGUAGGAAGUUGGAUGUCGGGAGCUGCACGAGUCGGACGCGCGCAGCUGACCGUAACAUGCCAAAGGAGGUAAAGGAUUUUGGGAAUGGAAAACCCAGUAUCAAAGUUAGCUUUAAUCGGAUUGGAACCGAGACUAAGCAUAGAGGUAAAAAUACCCGGAUGAUCGUAGUAAGUCUGAAUUGUGCAAUGAGACAGAUGAUGUAAUUGUGAGAACUGAGCACAGUUUAAAUGAAUAGUGUAGUAUGCAAAUGGUAUCCAACCGACAUUUAGGUGUAAUAUGAACCUUUCCAAAAUCUAGGAGUGACGAGACACUCUCGUGAACCUAGUUAUAAGAAGCAUGUAGAACCAAGUUUUGCUAAUUCAAGAGGACUGCCGGUAGAAAGAAAUUAUGAAGUUUGAGUUGGGAUUAGUAGAAACCGGAUUCUCAAUUACUAAUCCAUUCAUGUGGACCCUUACUCAUCCAAAUUCAUUGAAUUGAGGGAUGCUUAAUCCGUAAUCAGUAAGCCUUAGAAAGUUAUGAACAAUGUAUUCUCCCGAGCCUAACUAAUUUUGAUAGAGACAGAUAAGCUCUUCCAAUGCCUUAAGACCCAUCAGUACAUUAAUGUAAGAACUCUAUCGAGUUGCAAACUUUUCUAAUUCCUCGAUAUCAGUAAGUUAAACUGAUAUUAUAGAGCAUUAUUCUUAAGUAUCUAUACCAAAUGUAUUCAGCCUUCCAGUCACAUUAUUGAUGAUCAAUUCAGACCCGUAGAAGUUCAAUUGCUCAUUAGGGGUCAUGAGAGAAUUCAGUUUAAGUUAUCAAUCAUCUUGCUAACCUGCUAGUCAGUUUCGUUAAGUGUCAUACUUAAGUAUCUCGGCCAAAACAUCCCAGUCUUUCAGUUUCAUUACUAGUGAUCAGUUCUGAUUAGUAGGAGUUCACUUAGUCACGAUAAGCCACAAAUAGAUUUCGGUUUAGGUUCAUACCCGUUCUAUUGACGUGUCGUUCGCCAUUGUUAGAUUGUCUCGAAACAACAAUUUAGUUUAGUACCAGCCUCAAUUAAUCACCCGAACUUUCCAGUGCUCAAGCUCGCGACUAUUAAUCUUAUCACUUUAGCUAACUCUUGUAAAAAUUUCAUCAACUAAUUCCGGAUAAAUUCCAAACCUAUCCAGAGAAAUAGGAAGUAGUAACCAUGUCAGUUGUUGCUGUAAGAUCAUUUAAGUUCCAUUUUCGGUACCUGGGUAGAUUAAUGUAAGUUGUAAUUGCUAGUUGAAAGCAAUGAAUAUUCCUUUGAAAACUAUUAACUAUCCUUAUGUCCAAUUAAGUAACACCAAUAAGCAACCCAAAGUUAAACAACUCAUUCAACGUUAGCAUAACCACCGGGACUCAAAGAUUCUUGUGUUGUGACAUUUCCUUAGUGACUAGAUUGUUUUAGCUAACUCUCCAUUGCAAGGCUGCAUUAGACAAUUCUGUUAACAAUCCAAAUCUUACCUUAAUGAAGUUAGGAGCUAGUAACAGAAGGAGUUGUUUCAAGAAUUACCGAUAAAAGGAGCAGAAUCGUAAGCUUUAUGAUGAGGAGAUUUUGGAUUAGUCGGUAUUUAUACCCAAGCUUAUACCCUUAAGAUAAUUUCAUAACAUCAGUCAGUGUCCCGUGUUUCGGAGUGUAACCGACCAGGCCAGAUACCGACCUACAAAGUUAGUUGAGUAACAAAGUUAUUGCCGGAAGCAAUAAAAGGAUAUUAACCGUAGCAGAGAUCGGUGGAGUGAGAAGUUAAGCAAAAUCCACUUACUGGUAACACCAAUGGAUGAGGUAAGCGUCGUUGUUGGAAUGACACGGUAAUCACAAUCAGAUAUAACGAUAAGAAAAGACGCUAUGGGACCGUUUCCGGGAACUUGUAGAUCAAGGCAGUACUGACGCAAUCAAAGAGGAUGACGGUAAGUAGUCAAAAAUCAGAGUGCGCAACAAGUUUUGGUUGAGAAUGUAGUCAGCAGAUUGGCCUUUAGGCCAACAACUCUUUGAGAGGAAAGUUUCAUUCCAAGAGACUGAAUGUGAUUGACCACAAGAUGAUUGACGAACGUGUGACAAUUAGUGCAUACACUCCCACUUAAAUCUUGGAUUAAUAGUAACGAAGUACUCUUGAGAGCAGAGACUGCGUUUGAGAAACACGGUUCAACUUAGAAGUUUAACACGGUGAACUAGUAAGAAUAAGUAUGCUUUGAUGUAAUUCGAAGACUACAGAAAAAGGGACUGUUAUACCAUGUGCGUUUGAACUGAGGGAGGAUGACAUAAGAGACUAACAGAUGAUGAACUCACAUAUAAGAGUUGUAAUAUGGACUGAGGUGUGAGUUCGAUGUCAUGAAAUGGACGAUUGGGAUUUCCGAUGGUAACAUAAGAAACUGCUAACGCAGUAAAAAGUGAUGAUUAGUAACCAAUGAACGGCAAGCCAUGAUCGGUAAAGAAGAUAUGUCAAGGGAUUUUGGAAAGAACAUAAACGAUUUACCAUGGUUAUCCUGGUGAUGAAUGAAGAAGUUUCGAAUUUCGAGGACGAAAUUCAUUUAAGGGGGGUAGAUUGUAACAACCCACUUAAUUAAUAGUAGUAAUAUUAAUUAGAGACAGUUGAGAAUUUAAUUACAAGAAAAAAAUUGGACAAGUGAAGGAUAUGGAAAUUACAUAAGUGUAAAUUGGAAUAACUUGUGAAGGACAAAAUAGUAAUUUUGUAGUAAUAGCCAUAUAAGUUCCAAGAUGAGAAGAACAACUCUCUUUCUCAAAACACUCUCACGCCCAACCUCCCUUUCUCACCAUAACCACAAACUUCAUACUCCAUUAAUCCAUCAAAUUUCUUAAUGCAUGUAUGAAUUCUUCUUAACCCAUCAUCAAUUAAACUCAAUAGAAGCAAAAACCAACCCUAUCUUCCUCUCCUUCCCACUCUUAGCCACAAACCCCUUUCUUCCUCACAAACUCAUACCUUCCACCAUUUGCACGAAUUUCUUAUGGGUAGCUUGUAGAUGUUGGAAACCAAUGUAAUGUAAGCAUUCCUAAACUUUCCCCUCUUCUGUGUUGAUUUGACCGAUUUUGAUGGUUAGAGAAUGAGAUAGUUAUUAUCCGAUUUCCCUUGAAAGUGAAGGUUGAAAGAAGUCAUGUUUCACUGUUAGUUUGGAAUUUCAGCAAAGAUGUGGACUUGUAACAGUGGAGACUAAAGAUUGAAGCUUGGAAGAAAUUGAAGAGAAUGGAAAAGAAAGAAAUUGGAAGGAUUUGGGUUAAACCCGUAUUCUGGACAGACCUCCACUAAAAAGUUUCAUGGAUUUCUAAGCAGUAAUGAAUUCGGAAGAAGCAUUUGAAGUUCGAGGUCUGAUGCAGAACUUUGGGCUACGGGUUUAGAGUGUUGUGGCUGCAAAUUCUGUUUUUCAACUAGCUCCGAAUAUGUUGUUAGCACGAUUCAAACGUCAUGUUCAGGUAACAGGUUGAGCAUGAUAAAUGGAUUUUCAAGAGGAUUGAAGUAAAGACGCUGUUUAUGGAAACUUCGUAGCAUUCACCUGUUAAAUUAUUAUAGAAGAUGAUUCAAGGCUUGAUCCUGAUUGUUAUGCAUUCUAUUUCGCUCUGAUGUAUAAUAUAUUAUAGGUUGUACAUUAUGACAGUUUAUUCAGGAUUUUGUCAAGAUUAUGUAUUGUCUGGCAAAUUAUCUUGUAAUUGUACUAUGUCGGACAAAAGUUAUUCUGUAAUUUUAAUGUUUCCCGAUUCAGUUAUGUAUGCUCCUAUUGA